rnacentral:rRNA from 1 species
UACGAAGGGGGCUAGCGUUGCUCGGAAUCACUGGGCGUAAAGGGCGCGUAGGCGGCGUUUUUAAGUCGGGGGUGAAAGCCUGUGGCUCAACCACAGAAUGGCCUCGAUACUGGGACGCUUGAGUAUGGUAGAGGUUGGUGGAACUGCGAGUGUAGAGGUGAAAUUCGUAGAUAUUCGCAAGAACACCAGUGGCGAAGGCGGCUCACUGGCCCGGUACUGACGCUGAGGUGCGAAAGCGGUGGGAGCAAACAGG